rnacentral:rRNA from 1 species
GACGAACGCUGGCGGCGUGCCUAAUACAUGCAAGUUGAGCGCUGAAGGUUGGUCCUUGUACCAACUGGAUGAGCAGCGAACGGGUGAGUAACGCGUGGGGAAUCUGCCUUUGAGCGGGGGACAACAUUUGGAAACGAAUGCUAAUACCGCAUAAAAACUUUAAACACAAGUUUUAAGUUUGAAAGAUGCAAUUGCAUCACUCAAAGAUGAUCCCGCGUUGUAUUAGCUAGUUGGUGAGGUAAAGGCUCACCAAGGCGAUGAUACAUAGCCGACCUGAGAGGGUGAUAGGCCACAUUGGGACUGAGACACGGCCCAAACGCCUACGGGAGGCAGCAGUAGGGAAUCUUAGGCAAUGGACGAAAGUCUGACCGAGCAACGCCGCGUGAGUGAAGAAGGUGUUCGGAUCGUAAAAAUCUGUUGGUAGAGAAGAACGUUGGUGAGAGUGGAAAGCUCAUCAAGUGACGGUAACUACCCAGAAAGGGACGGCUAACUACGUG